rnacentral:lncRNA from 1 species
CGGCUGUGAUGUGGGAAACAAAAUGUAUUAUCUCUCAAUAAAUUAUAAUAUAACAAGAAGCCUGUUAUGCUAUGGAAAUAAAUAAAUAUCUCAUAUUCAUGAUUAAAAGUGAGAGAAGCAAUUGAGUUGAGAUGACCAAUGAUAAACUGUUUAUCGCUAUUUUAUCUAUGACAACGUUGUUAAUUUCAGUGACAAUGGCACAUGCACCCUUAUUUUUCAGCGAUAGUUUUUCUUAUCCCCAGCUUAGUAUAUUUCUAGGAUUUUGAUUGGUUAACGCACAUCGUUACAAAACCCAUAUCCCCGGACAUUGCAACCCAUUAAAUCCCGGAAAUUCACACGUGUUUUCCUUAGUUCCAUGGUUGUUCCUUAUAAAAUAUCAAAUUCUGUAGAUUAUCCAUGAUGUCUGUAUAAUUAGAUACUUAAUCAACUAAGGAUUUUAUCUUAUUAUGUCGAUUAUUUGUACUCAUUUUAAUAAAUGCAUCACUAUUCUGUCACAUUGUCAAUGAAUGGGACUACUGACCUAGCAAUGCAAAUGACCCACGUUGACGUCACAACGUCUAUGAUGUAACUCUCACAACUUGGAGCGCCAAAUUUGACCCAUUUCACCUUCUUCGUCUUAAGAUUAAAAAAACGUCUUACAUUUGUCUACCUGUAGGGUUCUUCCAAAGGUAAUACCCUACACCCUGUUAAAAAUAGGUCAAAAUCACAAAUUUCAGUAAAAGAUAUUUAAAAAAUGGAAAAAACGUUACUUUCACGUUACACUUUGUGGUCUAAUUUCUCUAAAAAUCGCCAGAUUUAGAC